rnacentral:rRNA from 1 species
CCUACGGGUGGCAGCAGUGGGGAAUUUUGCACAAUGGGCGAAAGCCUGAUGCAGCGACGCCGCGUGAGUGACGAAGGCCUUCGGGUCGUAAAAUCCUGUUGUCAGGGAAGAAAGUGCCUGUGAGUAACUGUGCACGUUUCGACGGUACCUAAAUAGAAAGCCACGGCUAACUCCGUGCCAGCAGCCGCGGUAAUACGUAGGGGGCGAGCGUUGUUCGGAUUGACUGGGCGUAAAGGGAACGCAGGCGGUGUUGUAAGUCAGUAGUGAAAGACUAGAGCUUAACCGUAGUAGUGCUAGUGAUACUACGAUACUUGAGUGCCAGAGAGGAGCGCAGAAUUCCGGGUGUAGCGGUGAAAUGCGUAGAUAUCAGGAAGAACACCGUUAGCGAAGGCGGCAAUCUGGCUGGAAACUGACGCUGAGGUGCGAAAGCGUGGGUAGCAAACAGGAUUAGAUACCCUAGUAGUC